rnacentral:rRNA from 1 species
GACGAACGCUGGCGGCGUGCUUAACACAUGCAAGUCGAGCGGGAUCCAACCGGUGGCAACACCGGGGAAGAUCUAGCGGCGAACGGGUGAGUAACACGUGAGCAACCUGCCCCGAAGACUGGGAUAACACCGGGAAACCGGUGCUAAUACCGGAUGUCGUCAUUAGGCCGCAUGGACCUGAUGAUGAAAGGAUUCAUCGCUUCGGGAGGGGCUCGCGGGCUAUCAGCUUGNGGUGGGGUAACGGCCUACCAAGGCGACGACGGCUAGCUGGUCUGAGAGGACGACCAGCCACACUGGGACUGAGACACGGCCCAGACUCCUACGGGAGGCAGCAGUGGGGAAUCUUGCGCAAUGGGCGAAAGCCUGACGCAGCAACGCCGCGU